GUUGAUCCUGCCAGUAGUCAUAUGCUUGUCUCAAAGUUUAAGCCAUGCAAGUCUAAGUACGAGCUCUCGUACAGUGAAACUGCGAAUGGCUCAUUAAAUCAGUUAUGGUUCAUUUGAUCGUACAGUUUACUUGGAUAACUGUGGUAAUUCUAGAGCUAAUACAUGCGAGAAGCGCCGACCUCGCGGGAGGCGUGCAUUUAUCAGACCAAAAACCGGCCGCGUCUUCGGGCGCGUUCGCCUUGGUGACUCUGGAUAACUUUGCGGAUCGCACGGUCUAGCACCGGCGACGGAUCAUUCAAGUGUCUGCCCUAUCAACUUUCGUCGGUACGGUAUUUGCCUACCGAGGUUCUUACGGGUGACGGGGAAUCAGGGUUCGAUUCCGGAGAGGGAGCCUGAGAAACGGCUACCACAUCCAAGGAAGGCAGCAGGCGCGCAAAUUACCCAUUCCCGACGCGGGGAGGUAGUGACGAAAAAUAACAAUGCAGGACUCGUUCGAGGCCCUGUAAUUGGAAUGAGUACACUUUAAAAGCUUUAACGAGUAUCCAUUGGAGGGCAAGUCUGGUGCCAGCAGCCGCGGUAAUUCCAGCUCCAAAAGUAUAUAUUUAAGUUGUUGCGGUUAAAAAGCUCGUAGUUGGAUUUUGGGCGCAGGCGGCCGGUCCGUCGCAAGGCGUGUACUGGACGUCCUGGCCUUCCCUCCGGUUCUCCGCCGGUGCUCUUGACUGAGUGUCGGCG
rnacentral:ncRNA from 1 species